AGUGAACGCUGGCGGUAGGCCUAACACAUGCAAGUCGAACGGCAGCACAGUAAGAGCUUGCUCUUACGGGUGGCGAGUGGCGGACGGGUGAGGAAUACAUCGGAAUCUACUUUUUCGUGGGGGAUAACGUAGGGAAACUUACGCUAAUACCGCAUACGACCUACGGUUGAAAGCAGGGGAUCUUCGGACCUUGCGCGAUUGAAUGAGCCGAUGUCGGAUUAGCUAGUUGGCGGGGUAAAGGCCCACCAAGGCGACGAUCCGUAGCUGGUCUGAGAGAAUGAUCAGCCACACUGGAACGGAGACACGGUCAAGACGCCUACGGGAGGCAGCAGUGGGGAAUAUUGGACAAUGGGCGCAAGCCUGAUCCAGCCAUACCGCGUGGGUGAAGAAGGCCUUCGGGUUGUAAAGCCCUUUUGUUGGGAAAGAAAAGCAGCAGGUUAAUACCCCGCUGUUCUGACGGUACCCAAAGAAUAAGCACCGGCUAACUUCGUG
rnacentral:rRNA from 1 species